rfam:Glossina fuscipes fuscipes unplaced genomic scaffold Scaffold820, whole genome shotgun sequence.
CGUAGUUGAACUUGUGCUUCGCGCGGGUAGCUGUAGUUUGUGCUAUACCUUAUGUAUGUCAGCGUAAUAACGGAGUUCUUAUAAGUAAUUGUAAUACUUGCAUUCUUUGCAUAUUGCUCCUAUUUAAACCUGCUUCAAUGCUCUUCAUCAGUGUUAUUGUGGGCCGGCGCAAUUACUUUGAACAUAUUAGAGUGCUUAAAGCAGGCUCCAAACGCUUGAAUAUUUUGUGCAUAAAAUAAUGAAAUAAGACCUCUGUUCUACUUUCAUUGGUUUUUAGAUCAACAUGUAAUGAUUAAUAGAAGCAGUAUCGCGUCACUGCGACGCAUGUUCCCCUCAAACGCG